UACAGAGGGGGCAAGCGUUGUUCGGAAUUACUGGGCGUAAAGGCGCGUAGGCGGCCCGCUAAGUCGGACGUGAAAUCCCUCGGCUCAACCGAGGAACUGCGUCCGAUACUGGUGGGCUUGAAUCCGGGAGAGGGAUGUGGAAUUCCAGGUGUAGCGGUGAAAUGCGUAGAUAUCUGGAGGAACACCGGUGGCGAAGGCGGGUCUCUGGGCAACAACUGACGCUGAGGAGCGAAAGCGUGGGGAGCGAACAGG
rnacentral:rRNA from 1 species